rnacentral:misc_RNA from 1 species
GUUCCUACUCGAUGGAUGGGUGGCAUGGGAGCCUGGUUUCUAUCAGAAGAUUCUUAAGAGGGUGGAACAGACAAAAAAGAGGUGAUCAAAAUAAGAUUAAACAAGAUCUGUUAUUAAAACUAAAAAGCUUGGAUGAUGGUUUGGUUAUGAAGGACAAUCUUCCCCAAAAUUGGAACGAAAGAUAUAGAGUUGAGAAAGAAUUAGAGCAUGUGUAUCAUAUGGAAGAAGUGUAUUGGCAACAACGGGCCGGAAAAAACUGGAUUCUCAAAGGUGACUCUAAUUCUAGUUUUUUCCACCUGUUUGCUAACGGUAGGAGGAGGAAAAAUAAUAUUCUACAGUUGGUGGCAGAUUCUUGUACCUUGGUGGACCAGAAAGAUAUUAGCAAUCACGUGGUUGAUUUUUAUAAACAGCUUUUUGGACCAUCUACUCCUUGUGCGAUGAAGUUACGCGAGAAUUUCUGGGAAGGUAGAAGUGAAUUAUCAA